rnacentral:rRNA from 1 species
UCUUGGUCAUUUAGAGGAAGUAAAAGUCGUAACAAGGUUUCCGUAGGUGAACCUGCGGAAGGAUCAUUACAGUAUUCUUUUUGCCAGCGCUUAAUUGCGCGGCGAAAAAACCUUACACACAGUGUUUUUUGUUAUUACAAGAACUUUUGCUUUGGUCUGGACUAGAAAUAGUUUGGGCCAGAGGUUUACUGAACUAAACUUCAAUAUUUAUAUUGAAUUGUUAUUUAUUUAAUUGUCAAUUUGUUGAUUAAAUUCAAAAAAUCUUCAAAACUUUCAACAACGGAUCUCUUGGUUCUCGCAUCGAUGAAGAACGCAGCGAAAUGCGAUAAGUAAUAUGAAUUGCAGAUUUUCGUGAAUCAUCGAAUCUUUGAACGCACAUUGCGCCCUCUGGUAUUCCAGAGGGCAUGCCUGUUUGAGCGUCAUUUCUCUCUCAAACCUUCGGGUUUGGUAUUGAGUGAUACUCUUAGUCGAACUAGGCGUUUGCUUGAAAUGUAUUGGCAUGAGUGGUACUGGAUAGUGCUAUAUGACUUUCAAUGUAUUAGGUUUAUCCAACUCGUUGAAUAGUUUAAUGGUAUAUUUCUCGGUAUUCUAGGCUCGGCCUUACGAUAUAACAAACAAGUUUGACCUCAAAUCAGUAGGAUUACCCGCUGAACUUAAGCAUAUCAAUAAGCGGAGGAA